AUUGAACGCUGGCGGCAUGCCUAACACAUGCAAGUCGAACGGCAGCACAGCAGUAGCAAUACUGUGGGUGGCGAGUGGCGGACGGGUGAGGAAUACGUCGGAAUCUGCCCAGUCGUGGGGGAUAACUAGCCGAAAGGUUAGCUAAUACCGCAUACGACCGAGAGGUGAAAGCGGGGGACCGCAAGGCCUCGCGCGAUUGGAUGAGCCGACGUCGGAUUAGCUAGUUGGCGGGGUAAAGGCCCACCAAGGCGACGAUCCGUAGCUGGUCUGAGAGGAUGAUCAGCCACACUGGAACUGAGACACGGUCCAGACUCCUACGGGAGGCAGCAGUGGGGAAUAUUGGACAAUGGGCGCAAGCCUGAUCCAGCAAUGCCGCGUGUGUGAAGAAGGCCUUCGGGUUGUAAAGCACUUUUAUCAGGAACGAAAGCGUUGGAUUAAUACUCUGACGUGCUGACGGUACCUGAGGAAUAAGCACCGGCUAAC
rnacentral:rRNA from 1 species